rnacentral:lncRNA from 1 species
AUCUGAGGGAGUUUCCAGUUCCUGGCUGCGAGGCUGGAUGAGGACACGUGGCCCCGAGGCACAGAGAGCCCAGGGCUGUGGGCAGAGAAGAGUCAGAGCCUCAGGGGCCUCGCCCUGUCCAGAACUCCACGUGACAUGACGCCCCACAGAGCGAACCUCUGACAAACAAGCAUGGGGCCCGUGUUGCCCUAGUGGAUGGAAAUGGACGUGGGAAGCAAGCAAGAUGCAUGUAAAUAAAUGGAUUCCACAGAAGA